AGCAUAUCAAUAUGCGGAGGAAAAGAAACCAACAGGGAUUGCCCUAGUAACGGCGAGUGAAGCGGCAACAGCUCAAAUUUGAAAUCUGGCCCCCAGGCCCGAGUUGUAAUUUGUAGAGGAAGCUUCUGGCGAGGUGCCUGCUGAGUCCCCUGGAACGGGGCGCCACAGAGGGUGAGAGCCCCGUAUAGCAGAGCGCCGACCCUGUGUGAAGCUCCUUCGACGAGUCGAGUAGUUUGGGAAUGCUGCUCUAAAUGGGAGGUAAAUUUCUUCUAAAGCUAAAUACCGGCCAGAGACCGAUAGCGCACAAGUAGAGUGAUCGAAAGAUGAAAAGCACUUUGAAAAGAGGGUUAAAUAGCACGUGAAAUUGUUGAAAGGGAAGCGCUUGUGAUCAGACUUGCGCCCGGCGGAUCAUCCGGCGUUCUCGCCGGUGCACUCCGCCGGGCUCAGGCCAGCAUCGGUUCUCGUGGGGGGAUAAAGGCCCGGGGAACGUGGCUCCUCAGGGAGUGUUAUAGCCCCGGGUGCAAUGCCCUCGUGGGGACCGAGGUUCGCGCGUCCGCAAGGAUGCUGGCGUAAUGGUCAUCAGCGACCCGUCUUGAAACACGGACCAAGGAGUCAAGGUUUUGCGCGAGUGUUUGGGUGUGAAACCCGCACGCGUAAUGAAAGUGAACGUAGGUGAGAGCUUCGGCGCAUCAUCGACCGAUCCUGAUGUAUUCGGAUGGAUUUGAGUAGGAGCGUUAAGCCUUGGACCCGAAAGAUGGUGAACUAUGCUUGGAUAGGGUGAAGCCAGAGGAAACUCUGGUGGAGGCUCGCAGCGGUUCUGACGUGCAAAUCGAUCGUCAAAUCUGAGCAUGGGGGCGAAAGACUAAUCGAACCAUCUAGUAGCUGGUUACCGCCGAAGUUUCCCUCAGGAUAGCAGUGUUGUUCUUCAGUUUUAUGAGGUAAAGCGAAUGAUUAGGGACUCGGGGGCGCCAUAUAGCCUUCAUCCAUUCUCAAACUUUAAAUAUGUAAGAAGCCCUUGUUGCUUAAUUGAACGCGGGCAUUCGAAUGUACCAACACUAGUGGGCCAUUUUUGGUAAGCAGAACUGGCGAUGCGGGAUGAACCGAACGCGGGGUUAAGGUGCCAGAGUGGACGCUCAUCAGACACCACAAAAGGCGUUAGUACAUCUUGACAGCAGGACGGUGGCCAUGGAAGUCGGAAUCCGCUAAGGACUGUGUAACAACUCACCUGCCGAAUGUACUAGCCCUGAAAAUGGAUGGCGCUCAAGCGUCCCACCCAUACCCCGCCCUCAGGGUAGAAACGAUGCCCUGAGGAGUAGGCGGCCGUGGAGGUCAGUGACGAAGC
rnacentral:rRNA from 1 species